rnacentral:rRNA from 1 species
UACGGAGGGGGCGAGCGUUAUUCGGAAUUAUUGGGCGGAAAGGGCGCGUAGGCGGCCUUGUAAGUCAAAGGUGAAAUCCCUCGGCUCAACUGAGGAACUGCCUUUGAAACUGCAAGGCUUGAGGCCGGGAGGGGGUAGCGGAAUUCCCAAUGUAGCGGUGAAAUGCGUAGAUAUUGGGAGGAACACCAGUGGCGAAGGCGGCUACCUGGACCGGUUCUGACGCUGAGGCGCGAAAGCGUGGGUAGCAAACAGG